AGUCAACAUUUGCAGCAGGCUGAAGACCUGCCCAUGCCACGAUGACAUACAAGCCAGCCAUAAAGACAGCACUAAAUGAAUCUUAAAAACGUUCAGAGAGAUCCAGUUGACUCUCAGAAGAGAGCAAUUACAGGUGGACAUCCAGCAGAAGAUUUCAGUGCUCAGGCUGAGUUCUGCAGCCUUUUCCCACAUCUACUGUGCUCACUACAGGUACCAGAAAAAAUGGUGGAGAAGUAUCUCAAGAUAUUUUUGACACUUUGAGAGGUGUCUCAAGACACCUUGUCAUAAAUGAUGUUUUCACAAUGAUAAGCAGCAAUUGACUGGUAGGCUGAAAACAACAACGUGGCUUCCUAAAAUUUAUGUUUAAUCCUGUCACCUGGAAAGGUGUUCUGCAGCAUUAGUUAGUCCUUAUGCCUGGAAAGAGUUUGGUCCUGAGCCCUGACACACAGGUGGACCUUUGCCAUCAAGCUGGGAGAAAGCUUCCCUUCAAUUCCAGAUGCACAAAAUUAAAUCUGUGAGCUCUGGUCAGUGUUGCCAUUGCUGGCUUUCACAGGCUGGUUUAAAAGGGCUUUUUCCCAUUGUUUUUCCAAGGACCUGCCCAAAAAUGUUUCCAUCCAAACCACCAUCAUGCAAGACUCCAG